rnacentral:lncRNA from 1 species
CCGGCAGUGAGGAAGAGAGGAGCUGUCAGAAGGGGAAACUGGGAAUGCAUUUGAAGCUUUGCAAAGAUCCCAACUCUGUGACUUCACUCUGGUGUUAAAUGGCUCCCCGGCAGUCUGGAGAAGGAGCUGCUCGCUGCCUUUCGCACCGAUAGAGACCAAGCAGCUUGUGCUUGUCACAGGGAUUCCCAUCGAAACUGACCCAGAAGAAAAGCACGGCGUUUAUUUCCUCGAAUUACCAGAGGAG